GUGAACGGUGGAGCAACACCUGAAGGAAGGCUUGAUGAGCGUGUUCCCCGCAUACGCGGGG
rnacentral:misc_RNA from 1 species